AGUUACAACAAGCACGAAUCAAUUCAUUAGAAGUCAAAAACAAGCUUGUGGUUUGUUAAAAAUGCAGAGGACAAAUUACCUUGUACAGUUGCAGAUUAAUAGACGAAAUUACAAUCAGUAUAUGGAUCUUUUCGGCGCUUCUAGCGCCCAGCUGACGAGCUGGACAAUCUGAGCAGCGGAACUACGCCACCACGGACGCCGGAACUGCAGUCGGAAGGGAGGUCCGUACAUCCGACGGAUCUACAGAGUGACCUCCGGGUUCUGGGACCGACGGAGAUCGGAGGGAGAGGGAGGAGGAGGGGAGCACGCCGCCACAGUUUCCUCCAGUGGCACUUCUGCUUCUGUCCCUCCAUAUCUGACCUCGCCGUCGCCGCCGCCACGACACGAGAGAGGGCGAGAGAAAGCGUGUCGUUUCGAGAGAGACAGAGAGAAAGGGUUUACUUCCACGAGGCGGGGCACGUGGGUCGUUUCCCGGCGAUUUCCACGUGGUUCGGAAGGGAACUAAUCCCCGUCGGGUCUAAUCGAAGGCUGUUAUAAGCGAGACCGGGAUCCGCCCCCAGCCAGGGAGACACCCACGGGGAUCAGCAGGGAUUUGGCCAGAUCCCGGCGGGGCUGGGGAUAACCGAACGUA
rnacentral:lncRNA from 1 species